CUCGUCUGCUCUGUGUUUGGUGGCAGCGCUCAGUGACUGCAGUGGAUUGUGGGUCAGGCCUGUGUUCUCAGAGAAUGAAACGAUGAAAGAGAGGAACGAGGAACUGAAAGAAGCUCAAACGAAGCAGAUUCUCAAUCAGUGUGAAUCCAGUCAGAUCAGAGUGAAGCAGAGCCACGCCCCCGCAGACACACGGACCAAUCACAGCGCCAGUGCAGAGAGUGGGCGGGGCAGGGGAGGGGGCUUCUGGAGUGUGGUAUAGCAGUGAUUCAAGAAAGCCCCGCCCAUCAGAGAUGAAGCUCCGCCCAGCAGGACGAGAGUUUCCUCUCUGAAUGAAGACAGACAGAGUGAGCUGCAGUAUUACGUGUCAAAGCUGCUAGAGCGUUCCCCCGGCGAUCCUCUGGACGAGCCAAUCAGAGAGCAUAAACACGAGACCGAGCGUCACAUGAGCGACCCCAGAGCAAACCUGGAGCAGAAACCAGAUCAAGAGGUGUGUGUGUCUCGACGCGUCCAGAGCAGAAGAACUGUGGGCCGUAGAGGAGGAUCUCAGAGAGUCUGGAGAUGAAGCGCUGUUAUUUAUGUGCUAAUAUUUUAUAUUUGAAAUAAAAACUACUCCGUUUUUAAAGGA